UUCUUUGAAAUUUAUCAUCAGAAAAUCCACUCAACAACCAGUUCAAUCUACAUAAGAAAGAUAAGAUGUAAUCAAACUACCCCCCAAAUUGUCUAAAGACCAGAAUGAAAAGAAGAUCUCAGCAUAUCCACUGUGGCUACUAGGCCAUAUUAAACAUCAAUUUUUGAUUUUCCGGAAUGAGAAGAAAGGUUGAAUCAUCAAAGAUGACUAUGGGGGCUUGCACUAAGAGUCUACAAAGUCUUCAUUAUUGGAAAGUUUCUAAGAGAUACAAAACCGGAAGAUAUGCUCUUUGGUUGUAUUCUCUAAAAGCAAACCCUUAGGAAAGGGUUCAGGUGAAAGCAAUUCAUCUGGGGAGGAAAUCCCAGGCAAGACAAUGAAGAAGUCAGAGAAUGAGACUAGGAAAUGAGGAAAGGUAAUAUAGAAAAUGUGAAUGAGCAGGUUGCUGCUGUGGGCAUCGGG
rnacentral:lncRNA from 10 species